rnacentral:tRNA from 1 species
AUUUAAAUAACUUAAAAAGAGUGUAAUAUUGAAGAUAUUAAAGUGAUUAUUUUAAUCUUUAAAUA